CAGCAUGUCCAGCCCAUUAUUAUGUCAAUAUCAGAGGACAUUACAAGUAGGCGGUAUAAGAGGAGAGAACUACAACUCCCAGCAAGUCCAGGCUAUCAUUAUGGGAUAUCAGAGGACAUUACAGGGAGGAGGGCAACGGGUCAGAGAGGCGCCAACCGGUCAAGACCUUAUUCAGCAUACUAACUAUCCUUGAAUACGGAUCUACUUGUUCUUCUUCACUUCUUGUUGGAUCUUCACCAUGAAGUUUUUCUUCAAUUGUAUCGAUGAAUGAAUAUCUGUCACCUGGAUGUUGUCAUUCCUUAGACCUCAGACUCAAGCUACUUCCAGAUGGAUUCACUGGAUUCUACUUGUUGACUCUUCUUAGAACUUUUGUAAUUUUUAUGUUAUUUAUUCAAAGAAAGAGGAAUAUUUCAGUCAUGCAGGACCUUGUGUCACCUAGCUUGUACAUUCAUUGGCCACUGUUACGUGUAGCAUGUUCGGUUGUCUAUACCAGCAAACUGUAUACCUGUGUAUCUAAAAAGUUUUCUUGUUAUCUGUUGAAAAAACAUUUAAGAAAGAAAAU